GGGAUUAUUGGUCAGACCCAUGCUAUGAAUUUGCAUUCAAGACCCUUGCAGGUGCAAUACCAGUAGAUAAUUUGCCAGUUCAGAGUUACUUCCAGCAACAAGUAGACACUUCUCAAACCCAGAAGGGGGUUUACUUCCAGCAACAAGUUGACGCUUCUCAAAACCAGAGGGAGGAUUACUUCCAGCAACAAGUUGACACUUCUCAAACCCUGAGGGAAAGUUACUUUCAGCAACCAGUUGACGCUUCUCAGACCCUGAAGGAUGGUAGUUUGGCACUUCCUGAUUUUGGCUUACCCAGCUUUUUUCAAACUGAUAUAUCAGUUCACUUUGAUGCUCCGGAGAAGCAACUUGCUUCCCAGACACAAGUACCCUUGAAUAGUCCUUCCUUCGUGCCGUCAGGAAGUGUGAGCUUACCAAGUUGCAGUAGCGUUGGUUCUCAACAACCGCCACACUUGAAGGAGAAUAAGGGACUGCGUGGGAGGGUGAACUCCUAGAGUCAAGGUAAUUGUUACCAGUUUAGGUAUUAUAAUUAUCUGUGAUAAUACGCAGCCUUUUUCAACAAUAACCUUUGUGGUUGUAUUUUAGCUUUUGUAAUAUGAUAUUGACUAUAAUUUGAACCGUUGUAAAAUAGUCUUUCAACUUUGGUAGUUUGUUCAGAAGAUGUAGGGGCGACAACUGUGCGAAAGUUUUCCCAAAUGCAAUAUGUUCAUGUUGUACUUUCUUCCAUUUUCACGGCAAUGAAUAGAAAACGAAGUUCUUUUUUUUUUUUUUUUUUACCCCUUCGCUGUUACUUUAUUUUUGUCAUUGUGAAUUAACGUGGGUGGAUGAAAUGGUGAUUUACUUAGGUUUGCUAUGAUCAGAAUGAAAAUGUACCUUGGGUCAAUGGCAGGGAGUACCUUUGUAGUUAUGCCUUUGCCCUGGAUUUAGGUUGUCUUACUAAUCUUUAUUGCCUUUUGAACUUCUCCAUGCCUAACACUCGUAGUAGGUAGAAGCAGUGGAAUUGUAAAAUCAAUCUUACUUGAAGGGACCCAUAUGUGUGUCUUAUCCCAUAUUUAGGGCUGUUUCUUGUUUAACCACAAGUUCUUACUUGCUCCUUUGUUAGUGCUCUGCCUUUACCUGCUGUUGGGUUGCUGAUCUUCCAGGAAUCAUUUUGAUGGAAGUGCGAUUGCGCGUUAUAAAUUCACUGAAUAGCCUUGUUGGGAAUGAUUCUUAGGUUAG
rnacentral:misc_RNA from 1 species